rnacentral:rRNA from 1 species
AGUAGGGCGGGACACGUGGUAUCCUGUCUGAAUAUGGGGGGACCAUCCUCCAAGGCUAAAUACUCCUGACUGACCGAUAGUGAACCAGUACCGUGAGGGAAAGGCGAAAAGAACCCCGGCGAGGGGAGUGAAAAAGAACCUGAAACCGUGUACGUACAAGCAGUGGGAGCACAGAGCAAUCUGUGUGACUGCGUACCUUUUGUAUAAUGGGUCAGCGACUUAUAUUCUGUAGCAAGGUUAACCGAAUAGGGGAGCCGAAGGGAAACCGAGUCUUAACUGGGCGUUAAGUUGCAGGGUAUAGACCCGAAACCCGGUGAUCUAGCCAUGGGCAGGUUGAAGGUUGGGUAACACUAACUGGAGGACCGAACCGACUAAUGUUGAAAAAUUAGCGGAUGACUUGUGGCUGGGGGUGAAAGGCCAAUCAAACCGGGAGAUAGCUGGUUCUCCCCGAAAGCUAUUUAGGUAGCGCCUCGUGAAUUCAUCUCCGGGGGUAGAGCACUGUUUCGGCAAGGGGGUCAUCCCGACUUACCAACCCGAUGCAAACUGCGAAUACCGGAGAAUGUUAUCACGGGAGACACACGGCGGGUGCUAACGUCCGUCGUGAAGAGGGAAACAACCCAGACCGCCAGCUAAGGUCCCAAAGUCAUGGUUAAGUGGGAAACGAUGUGGGAAGGCCCAGACAGCCAGGAUGUUGGCUUAGAAGCAGCCAUCAUUUAAAGAAAGCGUAAUAGCUCACUGGUCGAGUCGGCCUGCGCGGAAGAUGUAACGGGGCUAAACCAUG